rnacentral:tRNA from 1 species
GGUGCUGUGGCACAGUGGUUAAUGCCCUGGCCUGAAGCGCCAGCAUCCCAUAUGGGCGCCAGUUCAAGACCUGGCUGCUCCA